CGUGAACUCGUGAAGUAUACAGGGAGAGAAAUUAAAGGAACGCCGAAAACCCUCGGAAAAAUUCAAUUCACCAUAGCUUCUCCGUCCGAGCUCCGAUCGCUGUAUCGUUUGCGACCACGCGUCCACCGCAUCAAGCUCUACGUUUCUACCGGAACGAUUUCAUAGGAUCCAAUUAACUUGAGAAAAACGUUCACUCUUACUUAUGUGAAGCUUGGGUAAGGUUGUGAAUAAAUAAUUAGAGUUUGAAAUUGUGAAUAUUGGAACUUGGAGGAAGCUGAGCUUAGAAUUUGUUGAAUUUUGAGGGGCUGCCUUGAUUUUGAAUAAAUCGUUUUGGUCGUUACAUGGAAAUCGGCCAAGAUGCAGGUUGAGAGGCAUCUCAUUAGGCAUCUGGAUACCUGAAGCGAAGUAGUUACUGGGCUAUUUGUUGUACAGUUGAUGUAUAUAUAUGUACUCUUUUU